AAAUAUGGUGUGAUCCCAUUUAAAAUACACAUGUGCUGAGAAGAAGUCCGGCAAGUUGUACACCAAAACGUCAACAGGGCUUAUCUCUUGACGUUGAUAUAAAGGGCUUUUAUUUUCUUUACAGUUUUCUGUAUUUUCCAAAUUUCUACAUAAACAUACACAUAAAAGUCAUAAAAAUGUCCCUUAAAAUGACACUCCCUCCAAUGCAGGGAGUGAGGAGGUGUGUGCUGGGACGCCAGCAGGGUGGCUGCUGGCAGCUAAUCCCUGUGCAGGUGCAGCCACUGCUACACUCCAGCGUCUGAGGCCCCUCUGCACUGGCAGUGUUAGAAUGGCUGUCUGAGAGCCAAGGCUGUUCACCCGAGCAGAGUCAUGGAGCUGGUACAGGCAGGAGCCAAGGUAAGCACUAGGCUGGUGUGUGCCCUCCAGGGGGCACCCUCCUUGAAGCAGGCCCUCCAAGGUACUCGCCCCCUGAGGCAGCCGAUAACAGCCGGAAGCCUUCCCCUGGGGGGACCUGGCCAUUUGUGGAGCAGGGAAAGGCUCCACUGCCAGUGGAAAUGUGAGGCCAGCAGCCCAGGAUGUCUGCUUCCCAGAGUCCGCGUGGGUCAGUGCUUGGGCCAGACAGGGGCUGCCUGCGGUGGCAGGACAGUGGCGGGCUGCCUGGGCUGGAGGGAAGACAGGCGCCAGCGCCAGGAGGAGCAGGGUGGGCUGGGGUGU
rnacentral:lncRNA from 10 species